UUUCAGUAAUCUCUGUUGCAA
rnacentral:piRNA from 1 species